UUUGGCAAGUGAUGGCACUGGCGGCGUGCCUAAUAAGCUUUGUUGGUGAUGUGUGGAAUGACAACAAUACAGAGUACAGCAAGAUUGCACUUAAUACAGUCAUGUCAUGCUACCAAGAGGCUAAAAAAAAUACCAAGUUUAAUUUCUUCAACAGUCUACAGGGUACUAACAAACAAAAGUAUGUCAUUUCAUUGAUCUGGAAUGACUCACAGUAUUAUUACCAAUGUCUUCUUCUCAUUCGCUUAGCCAAUACUUCUUCAUGAUCUUUGAAGCCAUCUCGCCAAGGCCCGGAUCGGUCUUCAGAGCUUCAAUUUUCUGGAAUCCACCAAAGUCUUUGAUCAUUUGUGCGUGAAUAUUGAUCACACCAACCUUCUCAGCAUCUCCUGCCUGAAGGAUAUUUUUGAGCCCCCUAAGACAUGGACCAGUGCAAACAAACAAUAGAUGAUUACAAAACACUUCAAAGCAGCCUUCAUUCACCAUGUACCUGCAAGAAUAUAGAUCAACUUUAGUCUCAAUGAAUCAAAAUUGUCAAGCCAGGUUACCAAAAAUAAGCUGCGUGCAACAAAACAAAAUUCCAUGGACCAAUUCAGUAAUUCAAGUACCUAGCCUAUGGCAGAUCAACAAUAACCAAAUAUGAGAAGUACUUAAUCUCCUCAGGAGAUCCUCCUCGGGUGGCAUUUGAGAUUGCACACAGAACCUCCAAUUUCACUUCAAAUCCAGUAGUCUCUUUCUCGAAGGUGGCGUAGAAGAGAUGGGAUGAUAUUAGCCUCAAUAACUUUCUGUUUCAUAGAAAUAUUUAAGUUGAUAAUAAAAGGGUGCUUAACAUUUCCUAUGGUUUGGCAUGCUGCAUUACAAAAGAACCAUCAACCUCAUUGUCUCCCUAUGGCCUUUUGUUUCUAGGUGUUCAUUUUGUAUGGGUUUAUAGUUUAAUGUUCUAUUUAGUGGGCGAGAUUGUUGGCAACAACUUAUUGAAUCCAUUGUUUGGGAUCAUAAUAAAUUAAAAGUUGCUUCAGCUACACAGCCUAGAGCCCUGAGCAUUAUACGAGGACGUAUGUAGGAGUAGCUCACUACCUUCUGGGUGGAAUUGCCACAACAUGGGUGUUCUUCUGAGCAAGAAUUAUUACAGUCGGAUAAUGGCUAGGAGGAGCUAGAAGGAAAAUAUACCUGUAUUCUAUCCUUAUUUCCUGCUGUGAUGGUUGAGAUUGCCCAACAAAUGUCUUUCAAGAGAUGGUCAUUUAGGGCUUCCUGGUUGAUAAUAUUAAGUAGAGCUGGGAAUACCUGACACUCAAUUAGAACCUGGAACACAGCAACUGUGUUGGAUCUACCCCCAUUUCAUUAGAUAUAUAUGUAGAGAGAGAGAGAGAGAAUAAGAUAUCAAAUUUUCCUUGUAGCUAUUUUAUGUUAAAAUAUGCAGUACAGUUAAACAUAUACCAACACCACACGGUCAUUUCGAAAAUAAUGUGUCCAAAUUACCUUCUUUAAUAUAAUUCAAACUGGGCAUUAUUUUAAUUUUGGGGGAGUGGGAAACCUUAUGUUAGAACCAAGGGGGCCUUAAUUAGGACCAAGCACAUUAAUGAACACACUAUCACAUGCAAAAGAUGCUGCUGUAAGAACAUUCAAACCUAUACAAAUCAAGAAAUACCUGAAACUGAGAAUCAUUAUCCUUAAAGAUGUUCCUAAUUGUCCAAAGCGCUGCUUGGACAACCUUUCUAAAUGUAUGACUGGCAGAAACACAAUUAACAUUAAUAGAAGUGGUUAAAAAAACCGACCAUAAAAGGUAACUAACAGAAUGCAUACACAGGCAAAAAAAUCAUGUGAUUUUGACAGAUUAAAUCAUGCUAUGGGUCACAGGGUAGCAACAAAGGGAGUGUCAUGGGAUAGAAGCAUUGGGGAUAAAUAUGUAUUGGCUGGAUCCAAAUAUGCAGUUCUCUAGGGAUUUAUUUUGUAAAAUGAAUUCUAGAACAUGUGGAAGUAUUGUUGCCUCAUUCUAUGAAUGAUACAAGUAGAUCCUUUCAUACAUGUACAUUGUGGACAUAUGAACAAACUUACUCAAGAAGAAUCACGAGCCUCCCACAAAUAUUUGCAUCCACCACACACUGAAUUUGCUCAAUAGGAGCAUCUGACAAGUAAGAUAGGGCUAAGCACGCCUCCCUGUAUAUAUUGUCCAUUAGGCGGUGCGUUUCCAAAUGAAUUAGUCUAUGAAGAACUGGUAAUGCAGACUGUAUCUGUAAGGGGAAAAAAUAUCUUGUACUAGUUCAACAACAGUGAACUUAUCAACCUAAACUGCUAGCUACUUCAAAUCCAUUAUAUUUGCAAACUAAAAUUGAACAAAUUUUUGGUUUUUGGUUUCGGUUUUCAAAAAUCAAAAUAUUCGGUUUCGGUUUCGAUUUAUGUUGAAACCGAACUGAAAAAAACCGAAAAACCGAGUUAUAAUAAAAAAUAUAUAUAAUAUGACUAAUAUAGGGGAUUAGGGAUUUAGGGUUUUCACUUUCACUCCGCCGUCCAAUUCCUCAUUUCUCUUCUUCUCUCUGCGACUCUGCCCUAGUGUUCUUGACUCCUUGCGCCAUCCCCGUGCGUCUUGUCUAGUCGUCUGGGAUUCCCCCACCCCCCUGCUACUGCUACGCAGCUAGCCAGCACCCAGCGGCCAGCACCAGUAGCCACGGCCCACGCUGAAUCUGCCUCUCGAGUCUCGGCACUCUCCGCUAUCGUCGUCUCUCACUCUCUCGGCUGCGAUUCCCACCCCCCCUGCUAGGUUGCUAGCCACGCUGAAUCUGCUAUCAUCGUCUCUCAGUCUCUCGUCUGCGAUUCCCUCCCUGCUAGGUUGCUGCCUCUCCGUCUCUCUGUCUAUCGUCGUCUCUCACUCUUGCCUCUCUCGGACUCUCAGCCUUCGAGCUGCACCAGCAGGUCCAGCGCCACUGCCACCACCUCUGCCUGGCGCCUGCGGCUCUGCCUCCCUCCCGUGUCUUCAGAGCAGCUGUAAGUUUAUAUGUUUUCUUUUGGGAUGUAGAUGUAAGUUUAAUCUCACAUGAAACGUGAUGUAGAUCAGUAGAUGUUGAAUGUGUUAACUUGCCUUAUUUUUUGUUUUCAUUUUAAUUUUUUCCUAAGUUUGACGGUUUCACUAUAUGAAACAAAUUUGUUAACAUAUGUUUUCUUUAUUAGUAUAAACACUAAUAUUACAAAAC